UCCUGGCUUAGGACGAACGCUGGCGGCGUGCCUAAUACAUGCAAGUCGAACGGUCUUUCUAUGGAAGCUUGCUUCCACUGAGAAGAUAGUGGCGAACGGGUGAGUAACACGUGGGUAACCUGCCCAUAAGAGGGGGAUAACAUCCGGAAACGGGUGCUAAUACCGCAUAGUUUUCUUGAUCGCAUGAUUGAGAAAGGAAAGACGGCCUUUGUGCUGUCGCUUAUGGAUGGACCCGCGGCGUAUUAGUUAGUUGGUGAGGUAACGGCUCACCAAGACGAUGAUACGUAGCCGACCUGAGAGGGUGAUCGGCCACAUUGGGACUGAGACACGGCCCAAACUCCUACGGGAGGCAGCAGUAGGGAAUCUUCCGCAAUGGACGAAAGUCUGACGGAGCAACGCCGCGUGAGUGAAGAAAGGUUUUCGGAUCGUAAAACUCUGUUGUCAGAGAAGAACAAGUUGGAGAGUAACUGCUCCAGCCUUGACGGUAUCUGACCAGAAAGCCACGGCUAACUACGUGCCAGCCGCUGC
rnacentral:rRNA from 1 species